AUUGAACGCUGGCGGCAGGCCUAACACAUGCAAGUCGAGCGGAUGACGGGAGCUUGCUCCUUGAUUCAGCGGCGGACGGGUGAGUAAUGCCUAGGAAUCUGCCUGGUAGUGGGGGACAACGUUUCGAAAGGAACGCUAAUACCGCAUACGUCCUACGGGAGAAAGCAGGGGACCUUCGGGCCUUGCGCUAUCAGAUGAGCCUAGGUCGGAUUAGCUAGUUGGUGGGGUAAUGGCUCACCAAGGCGACGAUCCGUAACUGGUCUGAGAGGAUGAGCAGUCACAAUGGAACUAAGACACGGGCCAGACUCCUACGGGGGGGAUCAAUGGUGAAUAUUGGACAAUGGGCGGAGGCCUGAUCCAGCCAUGCCGCGUGUGUGAAGAAGGUCUUCAGAUUGUAAAGCACUUUAAGUUGGGAGGAAGGGCAGUAAGCUAAUACCUUGCUGUUUUGGCGUUACCGACAGAAUAAGCACCGGCUAACUCUGUGCCAUCAGCCGCCGUAA
rnacentral:rRNA from 1 species